UACGAGUGCCUCAAGCGUUAUCCGGAAUCACUGGGCGUAAAGGGUGCGUAGGCGGUCGGGUAAGUCUGAUGUGAAAUCUCAGAGCUCAACUCUGAAACUGCAUUGGAUACUAUUCGGCUUGAGGUCUGGAGGGGGGACUGGAAUUCUCGGUGUAGCAGUGAAAUGCGUAGAUAUCGAGAGGAACACCAGUGGCGAAGGCGAGUCCCUGGACAGAUCCUGACGCUGAGGCACGAGAGCGAGGGGAGCAAACAGG
rnacentral:rRNA from 1 species